rnacentral:rRNA from 1 species
UAGGGAAUAUUGGUCAAUGGGCGAGAGCCUGAACCAGCCAUGCCGCGUGCAGGAAGACGGCCUUCUGGGUUGUAAACUGCUUUUAUACGGGAAGAAAAUGCCCUUGCGAGGGAAAUUGCCGGUACCGUAUGAAUAAGCACCGGCUAACUCCGUGCCAGCAGCCGCAGUAAUACGGAGGGUGCAAGCGUUGUCCGGAUUUAUUGGGUUUAAAGGGUGCGUAGGCGGGUCUUUAAGUCAGUGGUGAAAGCCUGCAGCUCAACUGUAGAACUGCCAUUGAUACUGGAGGCCUUGAGUGUACUAGAGGUAGGCGGAAUUUAUGGUGUAGCGGUGAAAUGCAUAGAUACCAUAAAGAACACCGAUAGCGUAGGCAGCUUACUGGAGUACAACUGACGCUGAGGCACGAAAGCAUGGGUAGCGAACAGGAUUAGAUACCCUGGUAGUCCAUGCCGUAAACGAUGAUUACUCGAUGUUGGCGAUAUACUGUCAGCGUCCAAGCGAAAGCGUUAAGUAAUCCACCUGGGGAGUACGCUCGCAAGAGUG